AGCAGUAGCCGCGGUAAUACGUAGGUGGCAAGCGUUGUCCGGAAUUAUUGGGUGUAAAGGGCUCGCAGGCGGUUUCUUAAGUCUGAUGUGAAAGCCCCCGGCUCAACCGGGGAGGGUCAUUGGAAACUGGGAAACUUGAGUGCAGAAGAGGAGAGUGGAAUUCCACGUGUAGCGGUGAAAUGCGUAGAGAUGUGGAGGAACACCAGUGGCGAAGGCGACUCUCUGGUCUGUAACUGACGCUGAGGAGCGAAAGCGUGGGGAGCGAACAGGAUUAGAGACCCCAGUAGUCCCUGUCUCUUAUAC
rnacentral:rRNA from 1 species